ensembl:lncRNA
CGUUCCUGCCAGAGGGCUUCUACCCAGUGAGAUCAGGUGUCCCAGGAGACACACCUGGACCUCAUCUCCUCAUCAAGGAGUGGGGACAAAAAAGGACAAGCAGAGGAGACGUGUUGGGAGAGCAGCAGUGUCGCUGCCGCCUCCGUUGCUUUAAACGUCCUGAGAAGCGUGGGCCCGCCGACGGUGUAUUUCACAUCCAGAUGUUUCGUGGUGGCAGCAGACAAAGCUGCACCCACCACAUUUUGGCUGCCAACUCGACUCUGCCUCUUCUGCUCUUCCCGGGGAGGGGGGUUGAAAGCUGUCAGAGGGUGACGCUAGACGAUGGGUGUCAGACUAAAUAAACGCCGGGGCAGCCAGGCCUUUUUGUGCGGUGUUAACAGUUUGACUGCAAAGCCCCCGCCACACCCUUUCAACCCGCCAAAAAGAGCCCGUCCUUCACAAUAAAACGGGCCCGGAGACGAGCUGAGGGAGCGCCAGCUCCCACAGACUGAAGGAUUUACAGAUCGCCAUGGAGCCGCAGCUGGCUGUAAAUGGACGCAGGAUGUCUUUGUUGAGUUGACGGGCGGGAAGGAGAGGUCGCUGUCUGUCAGCCGCCGGCUUUGUCUUGGGUCGGUCCGAGCGCCGGCCCGGGGACGGCCUCCGAUUGUGGGUCGCUUUUGCUCUUGGUUUUUAAAACUCUGUCAAUUACAGGGAGACGUGACUUUAUGUCUCCAUAUGGUGCGCGUUGUGUCCGGCAGCGGGGACGCAGAUUAGCAUUGGUAUGCUAACGUCGUUGAGCCCGGGCGAGGGUGGUAUUUGUAAUUGUGUGAGGGAUCAGAGUACUUUUUCCAUGACACUGGCAUGUAUGAAACAGAUGAUUUACUUCUCUUGUCCAGUUCCUAUUCUCUUUAUUUCAAACACGGCGUCUCUCAGAGACACACACACACACUUUAGUAUCUGGACACUCAUUGACGUAAGGAUCCUUGUGGCCACUUACCCAAAUCUUCACGGCGAGCUACCCGACCCUAAACCCUCACCGGAACCUUAAUCUGGACCUAAUUCUGACCUGAAACCUAAAACAGUCCUUUGAAGACGGACUAAAUGCCCUCACAAAGACAGCCGUGCUGGUACACAAACGCACACACUCUUGGAUAUAAGUUACUAAUAACCACAGAUCAACAGAAAAACGUUACUGCAGAUAUAAUUACUACUAACCUUUAAGGUGCUUCUUCAUAAUUUUUUUUGGAGCCAAAUAUUGUACAUUAUAAUCUGUUACACUUAUUGAAAUACUUCAAAUAACUUUUUUACUAGUUUCAAAAUGGAACCAAAAAGAUGUAAUAUUUUAGAUGAAGCUCAAACUUCACUGAAAUUCACACGAUUUUC